rnacentral:lncRNA from 1 species
UACCUUUUUGUUCUUUUGCAGCAUAAUUUAUGUAGCAUGCAUUUAUUAUUGUAAUGGCCAGAGAUACUAUGUUUUUUAUAAUUAUAAAAUUUCCUCUUGUAUUUCUUUUAUAAAGACUUGGAUUGGCAAUCGAAGAAGGAAAUAUCGUUUAAUGGGCAUUGAAGUUCCACCUCCAAGAGGAGGUCCUGCUGAUUUCUCUGAGCAGCCUGAGUCUGCUUCUUUCUCUGCUUUCACACCAGGAGAAGAAACAGGGCCUGAAGUAGGAGAUGAUAAUGACAGAAAUGAUGAAGUAUCCAUCUGUUUGUCCGAUGGAAGCUCUCAAGAAGAGCCCAAUGAAGUUGUUCCAAAUGAGACUAGGGUUCAUAAGAAGGAAAAGCAACAUGCAGUAUGCACAGAUAAUGUGAAAAUAGAAAUUAUUGAUGAUGAAGAAAAUGAUAUGAUAAGUAAUUCUGAAGUAGAACAAGUAAAUUCUCUCUUGGAUUAUAAGAAUGAAGAAUUCAGAUUCAUUGAAAAUGAACUAGAGAUUCAGAAGCAAAAGUAUUUUAAACUUCAAACUUUUGUUAGAAGCUUGAUAUUAGCUAUGAAAGCUGAUGAUAAGGAACAGCAACAGGCACUGCUGUCAGAUUUACCUCCUGAAUUAGAAGAGAUGGAUUUCAAUCAUGCCUCGCUGGAGCCUGAUGAUACCUCAUUCAGUGUGUCUUCUUUAUCAGAGAAGAAUGCAUCAGACAGUUUAUGAUUGAGGGGAGAUAUAUGAUACAGUAUUUUGGCUACUUAACAGUUCUUACAUUUUAUGAAACAAGAAGUCAAGGUAAGCCACUUAGAUUUUUUAAAAAUCUAGUCACUGAGCUAUGCCACAAAAUUUAACUCAUUUCCAUGUGAGACCUGUACAGAGCCAUCAGCCAAGGAUAAUAUUCAAAAAGAGUUUACUACUUUAGUUGUAAAUGAGUCCUUUGAAUUUCCUGGAUAUUAUUCUAUGAAUACACACCUAAAAUGGGCAUAGUAUGCAGUUUUUUCUAUUACUAUGUACAGACGGCAGCACACUGCAGACAGUUCUUUGCAGAUCUUCUUUUCCAGGGUACCAGGUGGCAUUACCAAUACACAUAUAAAGGCAAAUGCCAACUUCUCUGUACCCUCAUAGUGUCAUAUAUUUGUGACUUGGCAGUGUCUAAUUGUGUUGCAUGAUUAAAUUACUACCUAUUCUUAUGUAAAAGCUUAAUUAAUAACUAGAUGGCACCUUUAGUUAUCAAUUUUCCAUUUCAAAUAUUUAAAAAUUUUUAAUUGGAGCCAAUUUUGAUGUUGGAAUUCACUGAUACAAAUUAAUGAAUGCAGAAGGGCAAUCUUGAAUGUCUUUAACCAUGCAGUGUCCCCUCCGUCCUACACCAUAGAUAAUGCUUAUUGAUAGUCAAUAUGUUUUGUUAGCUAUUUGUUUGAUUUGAUAUUACUGCCAUAUUACUGCUAUGAUUCCUCUGUUAACAGAAAUAUUUUACUACUCAGGUAUGCUCCCUUUUAGCUGAAUCAUAUGGUUCUUUGCAGUGUUUAGUAUUAUUUGCUGAAAAUUCAAAUUCUAUUUGAAAGAAGAGCACAGAGAAAAAGAACUUCAGAUAUUAACAUUAAAUUUAUCAGUCACACCAAUUUCUUCAUGAGUUAGAGUCCUGACUAUAGACAACAAAAGUAGAAAACAUUUCUUUCUUUUUUUUUUUUUUUUUUUUUUUUUUUUU